rnacentral:rRNA from 1 species
CCCUUAGAUGUUCUGGGCCGCACACGCGCUACACUGAAGGAGGCAGCGUGUACUCCUGGAUCGAAAGAUUUGGGUAACCCGCGAAUCUCCUUCGUGCUAGGGAUUGUGGUUUGCAAUUAUCCUUCAUGAACGAGGAAUUCCCAGUAAGUGCAAGUCAUAAGCUUGCGCUGACUACGUCCCUGCCCUUUGUACACACCGCCCGUCGCUACUACCGAUUGAAUGAUUUAGUGAGGACUUCGGACUGGGACCGAUGCGGCUUUCGGGCUGCGUCGGUAUUCUGGAAAGAUGUCCAAACUGUAUCAUUUAGAGGAAGUAAAAGUCGUAACA